UCACAAUCCGCCAACAUCCACCACGGGCCUCCUUGAUCUUCCAUCACGUGAGAUCUUUUUCUGUUUUCUGAUUUCAAUCACUCGAUUCAAGCUUGUUGUGUGUUUGUUUAAUUUGUUAUUGAAAGAACAAAAGAGGAAGAAGGGAAUCUUUGCUAUUGUGUAGAAAAAAAGAAUGAUAUAAGUUUUGCUCUGCUGAGAGGAAAGGCGAUACUUGCUUUCACAAAGAAGAAUAAGCAUUCUCUCUUUUGUAUACUGUGUUUUCAGGUUCAAAAGAAUAAAACGGGACGAAUCGGGGCAGAAAAGUGCAGAAUUCAGAGUUCUAGAAGAAGU